GUCCCCUUCGGGGUGACAUACGAAAAAAUUGGAACGAUACAGAGAAGAUUAGCAUGGCCCCUGCACAAGGAUGACACGCUUUCCCGGAG
rnacentral:snRNA from 1 species